GCAAAUGAUAUGAAAUUGCAUGUAUUUGCCACCAAACACAAGGCCAACACAUACAGUGAAAAAUUAAUUCACUCUGAUGACUGUGUCUCGAUUUAGAGUUGACCCCCCGUCAAAUUUAUGACGUCAUAUGAAACACAAUAAUAUACAGUAUAAUAUUACAGCUAAUUGUAGCAGAAAGUAUUUAAUGAUUUACAGUAAAUUUAUUGAGUAGUACAAUAUGCCAAAUUGGCAAUCCCUUCAUUAAUCUUGUCCACACAGUAAUUCAAAGAAGCCCUGCCCUCUGUACGAGGUUGUAUUAAUUGUGUCUCGAUUUAGAGUUGACCCCCCGUCAAAUUUAUGACAUCAUAUGAAACACAAUAAUAUACAGUAUAAUAUUACAGCUAAUUGUAGCAGAAAGUAUUUAACGAUUUUAAUUUAUUGAGUAGUACAAUAUGCCAAGGCAAUCCCUUUAUUAAUCUUGUCCACACAGUAAUUCAAAGAAGCCCUGCCCUCUGUACGAGGUUGUAUUAAUUGGAUUCUGUCCAAGAAAACGUCAUAAACCUUUUGAUCCAAAUGUUACAAAGUAUGAAUUCCAGAUUGGGAAACCAUAUAAAUAUUUUUAAUAAAUUCAUAUACUUUUUUAAAGAAAUGUUCUAUUCACAAAAAUAUUAAAUGAUAGUGAUCAGCCACCAAUACCAGAAUUCAUUUUCAUCAGCUUCCCCCUGGUUAUGACCCCCUGCAGGGAACCACCUAGGGUGCAGGUAUAAUUUUGUGAUGAAUGAUAAAAAAUUGCCCAAUGUAAUUAUGCCAAGCCAUAGAAAUAUUUUUAUUACCAUGGUCAUGACAACUACCCUGUCAGUUUGAUUGCAAUAUCAAAACUUGUUAUUUACACUAUAAAACAACACAUACCUACUCUGAGAAGG